rnacentral:rRNA from 1 species
CAGUGCGGCUGCCUUUUCCUUGCAGUCGAACGAGCUUCCGUUGAAUGACGUGCUUGCACUGAUUUUAACAAUGAAGCGAGUGGCGAACUGGUGAGUAACACGUGGGGAAUCUGCCCAGAAGCAGGGGAUAACACUUGGAAACAGGUGCUAAUACCGUAUAACAACAAAAUCCGCAUGGAUUUUGUUUGAAAGGUGGCUUCGGCUAUCACUUCUGGAUGAUCCCGCGGCGUAUUAGUUAGUUGGUGAGGUAAAGGCCCACCAAGACGAUGAUACGUAGCCGACCUGAGAGGGUAAUCGGCCACAUUGGGACUGAGACACGGCCCAAACUCCUACGGGAGGCAGCAGUAGGGAAUCUUCCACAAUGGACGAAAGUCUGAUGGAGCAAUGCCGCGUGAGUGAAGAAGGGUUUCGGCUCGUAAAACUCUGUUGUUAAAGAAGAACACCUUUGAGAGUAACUGUUCAAGGGUUGACGGUAUUUAACCAGAAAGCCACGGCUAACUACGUGCCAGCAGCCGCGGUAAUACGUAGGUGGCAAGCGUUGUCCGGAUUUAUUGGGCGUAAAGCGAGCGCAGGCGGUUUUUUAAGUCUGAUGUGAAAGCCUUCGGCUUAACCGGAGAAGUGCAUCGGAAACUGGGAGACUUGAGUGCAGAAGAGGACAGUGGAACUCCAUGUGUAGCGGUGGAAUGCGUAGAUAUAUGGAAGAACACCAGUGGCGAAGGCGGCUGUCUAGUCUGUAACUGACGCUGAGGCUCGAAAGCAUGGGUAGCGAACAGGAUUAGAUACCCUGGUAGUCCAUGCCGUAAACGAUGAGUGCUAAGUGUUGGAGGGUUUCCGCCCUUCAGUGCUGCAGCUAACGCAUUAAGCACUCCGCCUGGGGAGUACGACCGCAAGGUUGAAACUCAAAGGAAUUGACGGGGGCCCGCACAAGCGGUGGAGCAUGUGGUUUAAUUCGAAGCUACGCGAAGAACCUUACCAGGUCUUGACAUCUUCUGCCGAUCUU